GUGGGGAAUAUUGGACAAUGGGCGAAAGCCUGAUCCAGCCAUGCCGCGUGUGUGAAGAAGGCCUUCGGGUUGUAAAGCACUUUAAGCGAGGAGGAAAGGUUGAAGGUUAAUACCCUUUAGCUGUGACGUUACUCGCAGAAUAAGCACCGGCAAACUUCGUGCCAGCAGCCGCGGUAAUAAGAAGGGUGCAAGCGUUAAUAGGAAUUACUGGGCGUAAAGCGCGCGUAGGUGGUUAAGUAAGCGAUCUGUGAAAGCCCCGGGCUCAACCUGGGAAUUGCAGGUCGAACUGCUUGGCUAGAGUAUGGUAGAGGGGUGUGGAAUUCCAGGUGUAGCGGUGAAAUGCGUAGAUAUCUGGAGGAACAUCAGUGGCGAAGGCGACACCCUUGACCGAUACUGACACUGAGGUGCGAAAGCGUGGGUAGCGAACAGGAUUAGAAACCCGAGUAGUCC
rnacentral:rRNA from 1 species